rnacentral:tRNA from 1 species
GGCGCGAGACUGAAAAUACCCGAUGAGACGCCAUUUCUCUGACUGUAAAUCAGCUGGCAUAGCCUUCGGGGGUUCGAAUCCCUCACUCGCCACCA